AUUUAUAUGGCUGGUAGGCUGGUUAAACCGUUUGGUUUUCGACCACUAGGACCCGGGUUCGAUUCCCGCAUUGGACA
rnacentral:tRNA from 1 species